rnacentral:lncRNA from 1 species
CUGAGAACAGGAGGAAGUGUCUGGGCACAGGAGGAAUAGUCUGGGCACAGGAGGAAGUGUCUGAGCACAGGAGGAAGUGUCUGAGAACAGGAGGAAGUGUCUGGGCACAGGAGGAAGUGUCUGGGAACAGGAGGAAGUGUCUGGGAACAGGAGGAAGUGUCUGAGCACAGGAGGAAGUGUCUGGGAACAGGAGGAAGUGUCUGGGAACAGGAGGAAGUGUCUGGGAACAGGAGGAAGUGUCUGAGCACAGGAGGAAGUGUCUGAGCGCAGGAGGAAGUGUCUGAGCGCAGGAGGAAGUGUCUGAGCACAGGAGGAAGUUGUCUGGGCACAGGAGGAAGUGUCUGAGCGCAGGAGGAAGUGUCUGAGCACAGGAGGAAGUGUCUGAGAACAGGAGGAAGUGUCUGGGCACAGGAGGAAGUGUCUGGGAACAGGAGGAAGUGUCUGAGCACAGGAGGAAGUGUCUGGGCAUAGGAGGAAGAGUCUGGGAACAGGAGGAAGUGUCUGGGAACAGGAGGAAGUGUCUGGGAACAGGAGGAAGUGCCUGGGAACAGGAGGAAGUGUCUGGGAACAGGAGGAAGUGUCUGGGAACAGGAGGAAGUGUCUGGGAACAGGAGGAAGUGUCU